CAGACUGAUUUAAGUAUAAAUUCUGCAAAUGACAGCUGAGCUACAGACUCAUAAUGUCACUUAACAUCGCACAUUUCAGCCCAUAAACAAACAAAACAGACAAACGCUGUGAUAAAGUGCAGUAGUGGAAGAUGUCACGCGACUCACCUAAUAAGGGAUGUUUGGACCGUUACAUUCAGCCAACAGAAGCAUGUGGACAGACAUUGACUGUGAUGAUGGACAUCUGCUGAUGCACAGGCAGAAGCAUAACCCCUGCUGGACAUUGUGCUGGAACUCAGGGGGGAUGCCAUGAUCCCCCACACCUUCUCACUCACACCAGACCAUUCACUCAUAUUGCAGAGACCUGGCUGGACUUGAACCAGCAACCUCUGAAACCAUGAGGCAGUGCUCUUACCUCUGAGCCACAGAUCUCUUGUCUGAACAUGUGCAGGAACUUAUAUUUCACUAUUAACCCUGUCACGUUACAAUAAACCAUAUAAAUUUUGAACCCAUUGAGCUGGGGUUUGAACCCAUGACACCACUGCAGUCCUGACUGUAAGAAACAUUUGUUUAGCCAUUAGUGCCACACUGGCUUUCACAUUGAGGACUGGCAUUUGGGCCAAUUUGUUGGAUAUAAUGCAAUACAUGAGCUUUAAUGUAACCAAUAGUGGGGCUCGAACUCAUGACUCCAUGAUCCCAACG